GGAGGAUGCAAGUGUUAUCCGGAAUCACUGGGCGUAAAGCGUCUGUAGGUGGUUUAAUAAGUCAAUCGUUAAAUCUUGAGGCUUAACUUCAAAAUCGCAGUCGAAACUAUUAGACUAGAGUAUAGUAGGGGUAAAGGGAAUUUCCAGUGGAGCGGUGAAAUGCGUAGAUAUAGGAAAGAACACCGAUGGCGAAAGCACUUUCCUGGGCCAUUCUAACACUCAGAGACGAAAGCUAGGGUAGCGAAUGGGAUUAGAUA
rnacentral:rRNA from 1 species